AAAGACAGGUGUAUCAGGUUGCUGGCCAUUUCCCCUGCUGAAACUCCUGGGCUGGCAACUGGGGGUCCUGAGAGUGUCCUCCUGCUGUCUUUGCUCAACUCAGCUCUCAUGGCCAAAGGGCUCCGAGAAACACAGUCAUCUCCCUCCACUGUCAACAUAUACCCUGCCUACGGGAGAGACCAUCGUAGUAACAGCCCACACCUGCACCGUCUCCCGCCCGCUCCAGCCCAGCAAGGUGCCCAGGACAGGAUGGCAGUCCCAUUUUACAGGUGGGCAUCCUGAGGCCCAGAGAAGGACAGUAAUUCUCCAUGAGCCACACUACUGGGAUUCCCUGCUGGCCAGCCUCAGCCUCACCCCAUCCCAAGGGUCAGUCCUGACUCAGGAAAGGAGGACAAGAAGGCAUCCAGCCGCAGGUAUCAUUAGCUCUGGCUGGUCGUCAGUUUCGUAUCUGGAUGAAGCACAAUAACACACAGUGGGCACUCAAUCCAUUACUGUAAGCCUAGACCCUGAGCCACACUUUCCAGAUAAAUGUCACUCUGGAUGUGGGACCGCCCUGCCCACAGCCUGCCAGAGCUGGAGUCAUGGACCUGAAUCCCAGCACAAGCUGCCUAGAGCCCAACACUAGGAGCCAUCUGCCUGCCCAGCCAUAACACCCCCUAGGUUGGGAUAGUAGAAAGUGGGAGGAAGAUUUGAAGCCAGACAAACUGGGGCUUGACUUUAGCUCUGUAUUCUUGGAAAGUUACUCGACGUCUCUGAGCUUCGUUUUCCUUAUUUAUCGGAAUCAGCCAACAAUACUCAUAUAACAAGAUGUUAAAGACGGGGCUUUUCUGCUCCCACAGAGUUCUGAUUGCUGUCCAAAGGUGAAGACAUGAAGAGACUUCAGGGAACUACUUGUGCUUGCAGGACCUGCCAAAAGGGGCUCCAAACAGACCAUGAAUGGCUGCCCAACACCCGCCUUCGGCUCCAUAUAGAAGUGAGGGCAGAGAGAAGACUGAUGAAGACGAUUCUGAAGAGAGUUUAGGGGAACGCUGAUGUUUCUUUUCCUCUUCCCUCCUGCAGAUUCCAAAAAUGGCCUUAGGGCUUGAUCGAAAGAUCUCUCUCUGGAGAAAUUCUCAUCUCUGCUUUCCUUGAGGUUGGCUGUGCUCCCAGGCACACUCUUUCCAUGUGGCCACUCAUGGCUGCUCAAGGCUUACAUCCUUGUUUUAAUAUCCUCAAACAAAAAAGAGACAGGUUCUUAUUCAAGAGUCCAGUCAAAGUUCCAGCCUGACUUUCCUUUGCCGGAUUGGGGUCAUGUGCCCAUCUAUGAACCAAUCACUGUGGCCAGUGUGGGAUGUGCUGCCAUGAUUGGCUGGAUCUGGGUCACAUGUCCUCUCCCAGAGCCUUGUGGAUCAAGAGUAGAGGAGGGAAAGGAGAGGGCUGCAGGAGAAAAGGGAAAGGGGUGUUGGGCAGAGGGAGACCUCCAUAAUCCCUGCUUCAGCCUGGGUGCCGCCUUCCUUGAUCAGCAUGUCUCCUUCCUCCCCAGUAUUCUCUGCCUCAGCACCUUCCCGAUUUCCUUCAUUGUUCAUAUUGCUAUUUAGAGUUACAUAGUUGCUUCCUUGAGCUUCCCAGGUGACUCAGCGGUAAAGAGUUCACCUGUCAAUGCAGGAGACGGAAGCGACCCCAUGGACUGUAGCCUGCCAGGCUCCUCCGUCCAUGGGAUUUUCCAGGCAAUAGUGCUGGAGUGGAUUGCCAUUUCCUUCUCCAGGGGAUCUUCCCAACCCAAGGAUUGAACACGGGUCUCCCGCAUUGUAGACAGACGCUUUACCGUCUGAGCCACCAGGGGAGUAAAGAAUCCGCCUGCCAGUGCAGGAGACGGAAGAGACGUAGGUUCGGUCCCUGCAUCGGGAAGAUCCCCUGGAGGAGGAAAUGGCAACCCACUCCAGUAUUCUUGCCUGGGAAAUCCCAUAGACAGAGAAGCCUGGCAGGCUACAAGUCAAUGGGGUUGCAAAGAGUCGGACAUAACUAUGCACACACGCAUAAAUAUACUAUUUGUCUCUACUCUCCGAUAUCGGCUCCAGACCAUUGGAACCACACAGCUCUUACUGCAACUCGCCCAGUGCCUGACAUCUAAGAGAUGCUCCGAGAAUAGUUGUGGCAUGAAUGGGUGUUACCCUCAUAGUGAGUGCCCUUUCUCCAGGCAGGGACCAUGCUUAUUUCCUACGAGUCUGUCACCCACCCCUGCCCUAGCUUGCCCCAGAGGUGCUUACACUCGUCUCCCCACACUCCCAGCCCCAAGCUCACUGGCCUGCCCCAGGCUCUCCUUAACUGAGAGUCAUGCCCAUGGGACAAAGGUCCAGAGGGCAAAGAAAAGUCCUCCCCAACACUGUCCUUCCACUGCUCACUGUGUGUCUGUCAUUCACAGAAGCUGUGGCUGUGUCUUUCUGGAGAAGGCCAUCUUCAGGUCCUACCAGGGAAGGUCCCUGCUUUCCUGCUAGGAGCCUUUAUCUGCAGGGUCUUUACCAUCCGUGUGAGGCACCGCUGAGCUGUCACUUGGGAGCUGCCCUUGGUUCUUGCUCAGAAUCUCUGAUGUUGGAGGAACAGCGCCCCCUGAAGGCUGGCAGUGUGGGGCAGUGAAAAUCAGCAAGAGCCCCCUAGCCCCCAUCUUAUGGCUGGAAGAGCUUUGUGUCAGAGUCAAUCUGAGUGUUUCUGAGUGUUUUUUAGUGUGAGAAGCCUGAGCCUCUUGACUUCAGUCCAACAGUUAGUGAAGCUGUCCCCCCUAAAGGAUCGCCUGGGGCCAUGGGCAGGUGCGAGGGAGUCACCUGACCCCAGAGCGUCCCUGCUCAAGUCUUCUGCCUGUGGAGACCCGGCCCCAGUCACUUCCCAGCCUUGGGGUGAGGGCUGGCUGUCCCCCUAUCCAGAGCUGUGCAGGCGGGGCCAACUCAGCAUUCAGGACUUGCCAGCAAAUUCUUUGGUGAUGCUGGGCCUCUCAGCUGGACCCCGCGAUGUUGUCUCUGAGAGCAGAGAGGGGGAGAAUGGCUGCUCCUCAACUCUGGCAUUCCUACCCCAAAUCCUGUAGUUUUAGGAGUUCAGCCUAGUGGUGCAGGGAGGAUGGGAGGCGUCGUGUCUCUUCAGACUUCCGAAACGUCUCCUCCAGGCACAGGGAAGGGGUUUUGGCACUGGUGUGCUUGUAGGUUUCCAGACUAAAACCUCCAUCUCAGUCCUAUGACCCAGAAAUUCUGUUCCUGUGCCCAUGAUGGAGAAGGGAGGGGCAGCCUGAGAGUCCUCCAGCGGGGGCGUGAAUGAGUAACACGUGGCUGAUGCACUGUAGGCAGACUCAGCAACGUGGAUCUUAAAAUCAAAAGUGUUCAGUGAAAAAAGUAGGAAAGCAGAUGAGAUUUUAUAACAGAAUACCAUCUCCGUACAUUCUUAAUACAAGUAUAGGUGGAUGCUUAUUUUUAGCAUUGUACUAUUGCCUCGGGUAUUAAUAAAAUGAACAUGACUAUCUGAUAUCAAUGUGUAAAAGAUUUCAAAGACUCUAAGGGAACAUUUUUCAACCAAAAUUUGUAUGCUCACUUUGUAGACCAGCAUGAUCAUAUGAUAGUUCUCCUAUGUUAAAUUAUUUUUAUUUUGCAAUUUCCCAUACUUCUUAUAGUUGAAAGGUAUUACAGUGGUUACUCUCAAUAAUUCUGUACUAGUUCAAAUGUACCAAAAUUAUAUCAAUUGACUUUGGAAUAGUACACCUAAGUGGAAAUGUAAAUUCAUGUGUUAUUCACAAUAUAUUUUUAUCCCUCAAAGUAUUUUUCAUUUUCACAUUGCUCAGGCCCUGAAUUUAGAAUGAUAUGCUUAUUCAACAUUUGGAUUAAAGUCCUGAUAACGUAUGCUUCUAAGUUUCCCCUUAUACUUAAGAAAAACAAAUUAUUUUCUGAGUUAAAAAAAUACAUUCACACAAAACACAUGCAAGAACACAUACAAAUAAAAAGAUAUGCAUUAAGCACAUUAGAGUGCUUACCUAUAGUGGAUAGGAGAACAGGCGGGAACUAUGGGAUAAGUGCCUUAGACAGCAAGGAGAUCAAGGAGUCCUAAAGGAAAUCAACUCUGAAUAUUCACUGAAGGACUGAUGCUGAAGCUGAAGCCCAAAACUUUGGCCACCUGAUGUGAAAACCCAACUCAUUGAGAAAGACCCUGAGGCUGGGAAAGAUUGAGGGCAGAAGAAGAGGGUGACAGAGGAUGAGAUGGUUGGAUGGCAUCACUGACUCGAUGGACAUGAGUUUGAGCAAACUCUGGGAGAUAGUGAAGGACAAGGAAGCCUGGUGUGCUGCAGUCCAUGGGGUCUCAAGCAGCUGGACACAACAACUGAACAACAAUGGGAUAAGAAGAAAUUCAUUAAUUCAAAAUGAAGGAAGGGGCCUUACUCAAAGAUGAUAAUGGACCAUAAGGCUAAGUAACUCAGUCUCCCUGCACACAGCCAAGGGCAAAACUGAUGAAAAAGCCUGCAAGCUCCAGUCUCCAAGCCCAGAGUCAAGUCCAUCUGCUCCAGCUCUGGGGCAAAGGUCUUCCAAGAGUUUCAGUCAACAGCACAGUGGCAUUUGGUUUAUCACCCACCCAUCCAGAAGAUUCCUAGGAACGUGUGGUCAAGGCUCAAGAAAUUGCACCCUAAAAAGACUAUGAGACUGAGAAAUGCGCCCCCUAGAGGCCAGGAGGGUGGUCAGAGGUCUGUUUGAGUUGAACCAAAACUUCAGGAGAAUAGAGGCUGGGCAAACUGUCCUGGCCGACCUCUAAGGCCUUGAUUGCCUAACAGCUCAGGGCUCGGGCUGCUGUGACUAUGAUGGCAUGGCCCUGGCAGUGCACUGGCCAACUGGAAGCCUGCUGGGCUUUUUGUCCUUACAUCCCGCUCCAAAAUCAGCCAGGAUUCCAAGGACACGAGCCUCAAAAGCACUGCCUUUCUUACAGAGCCCUGAAAAACUACCAACCUUUGAUGUCUGUGAUUUGUUCUGUAUCACAUAUAGGAGCCCUCAGCACAAUUAUAGAGAAGACAAACUUGGGUGGAAGUCGGUACCAUUCCUAAAGUCCUGUGCUCAUUCUUCACUCUUCCAUGCAGGGCCAGGGACUCUCUGGCUGCACGAGUCCGUCCUGUGAAAAGACCUGAUGCACUUGUUCUCACUAAGGCAUAAGGGUUUGAAAAGUUUCCCUUUCUAGAACAAGCAAGAUGCUUUAAGAGCCUGGUGUGCACUGUGAAAGGAAAAUUAAAAUGGAGUCAGUAUUGCUAAGAGAGCUCUCUAAAAUGAAGCUGGGAGGCACUGAGUGAGUGUGAUUUAUGCUCACCUCAGCCCAGAUGAAAUCUGAACUUUGACCCGUUAUUGUCUCAACUCGGGCAGUGUUCCAGACAGUCAAAAUACCAUUUGGACCCUUACCCUAAAUAACUCAUGACAGCCUUUUCCUCAAGGAGAAAUAUUUCCUUUCCCGUGUCAGAGUCCAUCAUAAUUCCUGCCAGACCAUUUUAACAACUUGUGGUCUUGUCCUUUAUAAAACCCUGACUCUUUUUCUUCCCUAGAACCCUCUUU
ensembl:lncRNA